GCACACUGUUUGUAACUUGCCAGUCUUGCUGUGGCUGGUGGGCUCCAUUCCAGUGCUACAGCAUUUCCAGUGACACAUACAUGACUGUUGGCUGGGGCCUUUUAGUUUCUGGUCUUGGAAACAUGC